UUAAGCCAUGCAUGUCUAAGUACAUGCCGAAAUAAGGCGAAACCGCGAAUGGCUCAUUAAAUCAGUUAUGGUUCCUUAGAUCGUUUCUUCCUACUUGGAUAACUGUGGCAAUUCUAGAGCUAAUACAUGCAGUGAGCCUGGAGCCCUUUGGGUAACGGGUGCUUUUAUUAGACCAAGAUCGAUCGGGUUUCGGCCCGUAUUGUGUGGUGACUCUGGAUAACUUUGUGCUGAUCGCAUGGCCACGAGCCGGCGACGUUUCUUUCAAGUGUCUGCCUUAUCAACUUUCGAUGGUAGGUUACUUGCUUACCAUGGUUGUUACGGGUAACGGAGAAUCAGGGUUCGAUUCCGGAGAGGGAGCCUGAGAAACGGCUACCACAUCCAAGGAAGGCAGCAGGCGCGCAAAUUACCCACUCCCGGCACGGGGAGGUAGUGACGAAAAAUAACAAUACGGGACUCUUUUGAGGCCCCGUAAUUGAAAUGAGUACACUCUAAAUCCUUUAACGAGGAUCAAUUGGAGGGCAAGUCUGGUGCCAGCAGCCGCGGUAAUUCCAGCUCCAAUAGCGUAUACUAAAGCUGCUGCGGUUAAAAAGCUCGUAGUUGGAUCUCAGUUCCAGACGAGUAGUGCAUCUACCCGAUGCGACGGCUCGGACUGAACAUCAUGCCGGUUCUUUCUUGGUGCACUUCAUUGUGUGCCUCGAGAUGGCCGGUGCUUUUACUUUGAAAAAAUUAGAGUGCUCAACGCAGGCGAGUCGCCUGAAUAAACUUGCAUGGAAUAAUAGAACAAGACCUCGUUUCUGUUCUGUUGGUUUUUGGAAUACGAGGUAAUGAUUAAGAGGGACGGACGGGGGCAUUCGUAUUGCGGCGCUAGAGGUGAAAUUCUUGGACCGUCGCAAGACGAACUACUGCGAAAGCAUUUGCCAAGAAUGUUUUCAUUGAUCAAGAACGAAAGUCAGAGGUUCGAAGGCGAUCAGAUACCGCCCUAGUUCUGACCAUAAACGAUGCCAACCAGCGAUCCGCCUGAGUUACUCAAAUGACUCGGCGGGCAGCUUCCGGGAAACCAAAGUAUUUGGGUUCCGGGGGAAGUAUGGUUGCAAAGCUGAAACUUAAAGGAAUUGACGGAAGGGCACCACCAGGAGUGGGCCUGCGGCUUAAUUUGACUCAACACGGGAAAACUUACCCGGCCCGGACACUGGGAGGAUUGACAGAUUGAGAGCUCUUUCUUGAUUCGGUGGAUGGUGGUGCAUGGCCGUUCUUAGUUGGUGGAGCGAUUUGUCUGGUUAAUUCCGAUAACGAACGAGACUCUAGCCUAUUAAAUAGGUGCGGGGUUCCCAGCACCUUACAACCUUAUUAGAGGGACAAGCGGAUCCUAGCCGCACGAAACAGAGCAAUAACAGGUCUGUGAUGCCCUCAGAUGUCCGGGGCCGCACGCGCGCUACACUGAAGGAAGCAGCGUGUCUUUAUCCCUGUCUGAAAAGACUGGGUAACCCGUGGAAGUUCUUUCGUGAUUGGGAUAGGGGCUUGCAAUUGUUCCCCUUGAACGAGGAAUUCCCAGUAAGCGCGAGUCAUAAGCUCGCGUUGAUUACGUCCCUGCCCUUUGUACACACCGCCCGUCGCUACUACCGAUUGAAUGAUUUAGUGAGGUCUUCGGACCGAUGUCCGGCGCGG
rnacentral:rRNA from 1 species